GAUGAACGCUAGCGGCAGGCUUAAUACAUGCAAGUCGAGGGGCAGCGCAGUGUAGCAAUACAUGGGCGGCGACCGGCAAACGGGUGCGGAACACGUACGCAACCUUCCUUUAAGUGGGGGAUAGCCCAGGGGAACUUGGAUUAAUACCCCGUAAUAUUAUGAAGUGGCAUCACUUUAUACUUAUAGCUCCGGCGCUUAAAGAUGGGCGUGCGACUGAUUAGGUAGUUGGCGGGGUAACGGCCCACCAAGCCUGCGAUCAGUAACUGGUGUGCGAGCACGACCAGUCACACGGGCACUGAGACACGGGCCCGACUCCUACGGGAGGCAGCAGUAAGGAAUAUUGGUCAAUGGACGCAAGUCUGAACCAGCCAUGCCGCGUGGAGGAUGAAGGUCCUCUGGAUUGUAAACUUCUUUUAUUUGGGAAGAAACCCACUGUUUCUACGGUGGUUGAUGGUACCAGAUGAAUAAGCACCGGCUAACUCCGUGCCAGCCGCCGCGGUAAAAC
rnacentral:rRNA from 1 species